AUUGAACGCUGGCGGCAUGCUUUACACAUGCAAGUCGAACGGUAACACGCCUACGGGUGCUGACGAGUGGCGACCGGGGGCGUAAUGCAGCGGAACGUACCCAGAGGUAGGGGUUAACGGGGGGAAAGCUGGGGUAAUAUCGCAUGUGAUCUGAGGAUGAAAACGGGGGAAAGGGCAGCAAUGUUUGGCCUUGCGCGUUUGAAGCGGCCGAUGUCGGAUUAGGUAGUUGGCGGGGUAAAGGCCUACCAAGCCGACGAUCUGUAGCUGGUCUGAGAGGACGAUCAGCCACACUGGAACUGAGACACGGCCCAGACUCCUACGGGAGGCAGCAGUGGGGAAUAUUGGACAAUGGGCGCAAGCCUGAUCCAGCAAUACCGCGUGCGUGAAGAAGGCCUUCGGGUUGUAAAGCCCUUUUGUUGGGAACGAAAAGCAUCUGGCUAAUACCUCGCGCUGAUGACGGUACCGUAAGAAUAAGCACCGGCUAACUUCGUG
rnacentral:rRNA from 1 species